UACGAAGGGGGCUAGCGUUACUCGAAUUGACUGGGCGUAAAGGGCGCGUAGGCGGAUGGUACAGUCAGACGUGAAAUUCCUGGGCUCAACCUGGGGGCUGCGUUUGAUACGUGCUGUCUGGAGUUCGGAAGAGGGUCGUGGAAUUCCCAGUGUAGAGGUGAAAUUCGUAGAUAUUGGGAAGAAACACCGGUGGCGAAGGCGGCGACCUGGUCCGAUACUGACGCUGAGGCGCGAAAGCGUGGGGGAGCAAACAGG
rnacentral:rRNA from 1 species